rnacentral:rRNA from 1 species
UACGGGGGGGGCAAGCGUUGUUCGGAAUUACUGGGCGUAAAGGGCCUGUAGGCGGCCAACUAAGUCCGACGUGAAAUCCCAAGGCUUAACCUUGGAACUGCGUCGGAUACUGGAUGGCUUGAAUUCGGGAGAGGGAUGCAGAAUUCCAGGUGUAACGGUGAAAUGCGUAGAUAUCUGGAGGAAUACCGGUGGCGAAGGCGGCAUCCUGGACCGACAUUGACGCUGAACGGCGAAAGCUAGGGGAGCAAACGGG